GAUGAAGAACGUAGCGAAAUGCGAUACUUGGUGUGAAUUGCAGAAUCCCGUGAACCAUCGAGUCUUUGAACGCAAGUUGCGCCCGAAGCCAUUAGGCCGAGGGCACGCCUGCCUGGGCGUCACACGUCGUUGCCCCCCCAUCUACUCCUUCGGGAUUGCGGGGGGCGGAUGAUGGCCUCCCGUGCGCCUCGUCGCGCGGUUGGCAUAAAUACCAAGUCCUCGGCGACGCACGCCACGACAAUCGGUGGUUGCGAAACCUCGGUUGCCCGUCGUGUGCGGUCGUCGCGCAUCGAGGGCUCGAAAAAAUUGCCGGGCGCCGGCUCGGCUUUCAACGCGACCCCAGGUCAGGCGGGGUUACCCGCUGAAUUUAAGCAUAUCAAUAAGCGGAGGA
rnacentral:misc_RNA from 1 species